rnacentral:lncRNA from 1 species
AAAGCCUUGGAUACUGUUCCUAUCAUUUGUGCUAAUAACAUGGACGGACUCUUCUUCUAAAAAUUUCAGCCACUCCAAUAGCUCAUUUAUUUCAUCCGCCGUUAUUUUCGAAUCAUUUCCUGGCCUUUCCUUUAUAGGCCAAACAAAAAAACACUAUCAAGACAAACAAGAAAUCGAGAUAUGAACGUACCAAAAACUAUAUCCACAAACCCAAAAAUAAAAGAAAAACAAAAGAUGAGAACACAAACACUUAAUCACAGGAAAAAAAAUAGAAGCAAGCACCCUGGCGAUAAACCCAAAAGCAAAACAAAAACAGAACAAAAAAAAUCAAAGAAAAACAAGAUUAUCAACCUAAGAACAGAAUAGAGAAAAAAUAAAAUAACAAGGAAAAAGGAAAAUAGACUCCCAACAGGAAUCACAAAGAGAAUUACGCCAAAAACAGAAGGGAUGAAGCAACCCAAAC